rnacentral:rRNA from 1 species
UACGGAAGGCGCAAGCGUUGUUCGGAAUCACUGGGCUUAAAGAGCGUGUAGGCGGAAUGGUAGGUGCUUUGUGAAAUCCCUCGGCUCAACCGAGGAACUGCUUGGCAAACCCCCAUUCUUGAGGCAGGUAGAGGCGACUGGAACCUUUGGUGGAGCGGUGAAAUGCGUAGAGAUCAAAGGGAACACCGGUGGCGAAAGCGGGUCGCUGGGCCUGUCCUGACGCUGAGACGCGAAAGCGUGGGUAGCAAACAGGAUUAGAUACCCUGGUAGUCCACGCCGUAAACGAUGCGCACGAGGUACGGAAGCCUCUGACGGAGACCGUGCCGAAGCGAAAGCGAUGAGUGCGCCGCCUGGGGAGUACGGCCGCAAGGCUAAAACUCAAAGGAAUUGACGGGGGCUCACACAAGCGGUGGAGCAUGUGGAUUAAUUCGAAGCAACGCGAAGAACCUUACCUGGGUUUGAAAUGCUAGGAUGCAGCGGUGAAAGCCGUCUAUGCUGCCUUUGGUGAAACUAGCACAGGUGCUGCAUGGCUGUCGUCAGCUCGUGCUGUGAAGUGUCGGGUUAAGUCCCUUAACGAGCGAAACCCCUAUCGUUAGUUGCCAGCGGUUCGGCCGGGAACUCUAGCGAGACUGCCGGCGUUAAGCCGGAGGAAGGUGGGGAUGACGUCAAGUCCUCAUGGCCUCUAUGCCCAGGGCGUCACACGUGCUACAAUGGUCCGUACAGAGCGACGCGAUACCGCGAGGUGGAGCAAAUCGCAGAAAGCGGGCCUCAGUUCGGAUUGGAGUCUGCAAUUCGACUCCAUGAAGUCGGAAUCGCUAGUAAUCGCGUAUCAGCCAUGACGCGGUGAAUGUGUUCCUGAGCCU